rnacentral:rRNA from 1 species
GCUUUAGGGCUAGCCUCAAGAGAUGAUUAAUGGAGGUAGACCACUGUUUGGACGAGGGACCCCUCUCGGGUUACCGAAUUCAGACAAACUCCGGAUGCCAAUUAAUUUAACUUGGGAGACAGAACAUGGGUGAAAAGGUCCGUGUUCGAAAGAGCAACAGCCCAGACCACCAGCUAAGGUCCCUAAAUAUAAGUUAAGGGAAAAAUGACGUGGCGUUGACCAGACAACUAGGAUGUUUGCUUAGAAGCAG